rnacentral:rRNA from 1 species
GACGAACGCUGGCGGCGUGCUUAACACAUGCAAGUCGAACGGAAACGCCCUGCUUUUGUGGGGUGCUCGAGUGGCGAACGGGUGAGUAACACGUGAGUAACCUGCCCUUGACUUUGGGAUAACUUCAGGAAACUGGGGCUAAUACCGGAUAGGAGCUCCUGCUGAAUGGUGGGGGUUGGAAAGUUUCGGCGGUUGGGGAUGGACUCGCGGCUUAUCAGCUUGUAGGUGGGGUAGUGGCUUACCAAGGCUCUGGUGGGUAGCCGGCCUGAGAGGGUGACCGGCGACAAUGGGACUGAGGUACGGCCCAGACUGCUACGGGAGGCAGCGGUGGGGAAUAUUACACAAUGGGCCGAAGCCUGGUGCAGCAGCUCCGCGUGCGGGAUGACGGCCUUCGGGUUGUGAACCGCUUUCGCCUGUGACGGAGCGUGAGUGACGGUAAUGGAUAAAGAAGCACCGGCUAACUACGUG